CACCAUGUUCUCAAUUUUAUCAUCCCACUACACUUUAUUCUAUUCUCUCUCUCCCAUUGAAAUUCACACUUUCUACAUGCUGGAGCAACCUAAUUGCAAAAAAGAGAGAUCUUAGAACUUUGAGCGAGUCGUCCUCUGACGGAGAUUCGGCCGUCAUUUGUUAAUCAAACUCUGAUGAAGACGCAACAAUUGCCUUUGCCGUGGCGCCGCCUCGGACAAACGUUGCCCAAAACUCGGGCUGGCCUAUGGCCUCACGCCGCCUCCAAACGCAAGAGCGAACCCAACAAGUUUCCUUCUCCCUAUAUUCCUAUAUUUUUUUUUCUAUUUCUUAUUAAGCAGACUUGAAUUUUUACUUCUAUUUUCUUUUCUAUUUUAUUGAUUACCAGGCUCGAGCAAUUCUAUGAUCUUUUUCCGAAAAGGUCUUGAGCCAUUACACAUAAUCAUCGAUCAUAUAAUUGGAAAGGAGGUAAUAUGCAUCUGGAUGUUUAUCUAUUCUUUUACACUUCUUGUGAUAUUUUUAUUUUGAUGAAUAAUGCUAGAAAGACUGCACAAUUUGUGUGUAAUUUGAUAAUAUUUAGCAAAUUCUUAAAUAUCUGAUUAUAGUACUAAUUAAAUUUGGAUUUUUUUUGAAGGAACUCGGGGAGAUUUGUAAAAGUAUUUUUUGAAAACUGAGAUCCGAGUCAUACGUAUGUUUUUCCUGCGCUGUUUCUUUAUUCUGUCAGCCAAAACAAAUUGCUUUUAGUCGGGAGAUUGAUGUUAUAUCUCAUUUUUCUCUGCCUCGAUUGAAUUUUCUCGAUGUUUUUCAUGCGCUAUGUGUAUUCAUUCAGCAAAAAAAGCCCUUUUGUCGGUAGAUUGAUGAUAUAUCUCAUUUUUCUAUAGCUUGAUUGAAUUUUCUCGAAAUAUAUAUGUAUGAUUUUCACGCGCUAUUUAUUUAAUUUAGUCAAGAAAAAUGGCUUUAAUUGGUGGAGUGAUGUUAUAUUUCAUUUUUCUCUUGCUCGAUUGAAUUUGAUAUCAUCAUAAUUGGUGGAUUGAAUUUCUGAUCAGAAUCUCCUUUCCUUUACGUUCUCUCGGAUUGCCAGUUGGUUUUUUGAUAUUAUCAUUUGAAUGUUGGAAUAGGUUUUAUACCUUUAUCUGUUAGAGGCCUUUAGGAGAAUUGUAGUUGGGGUUCUGAUGGAUAGUUGGUUUGUUGAAUUUAGGAGGCAUAUUGCUGAAGAAUAUCUUUGCGUUAUUGUGGUGAAGUUGUAUCAAUUUAAUUUCCAUCUUCUCCAAUUUGAAGCCGUAUCAGUUUUUCUAUCCCUUUCAAAGGAAUUUUAAUGAACAUGAUUAUAAUAUAUUUUUAAGGUGUAAUAGUGAUGUUGGUCCAUUGUCUCCAUUUAUAAUUGUUAGCGUUUUCGCUUGAAUUUUUGGUGUGUGUGUCUUUUCUUCAGCAGUUUCACAUGAUUUUGACACAAGGAGAAGUCGAUUGCGUAUGGUGCUUGAUCAUAUAAUAAGGUUUGAUCAAAUAUUGGUUUCAAAAGUGAAUUAUACUUCAUAUUUCGAAUGUUGUACAUUUUUUAAUAUUUUCUUGGAUUUGUCUUGGCAUUUCUCACUGCAUCUGCAUACAUGUUUGGUGUUUAGAUUUCCUUAAAUGUUAAUUUAUAAGCACCUAUGUGUCAAGUUUAUUGUCUCGCUGAAUUAGCUAAUUGUGAAAGAAAAUUUGCUAGAAUCAGUCUUUGACUUUUUUAACCACCGUUUUCUACAUUGUUUGUACAAGCAUCUUUGUUUUGAGCUUAGAAGUUAUAAAAUUGUGUGUGUAAAUAUUCUUGAAUUUUACGUUUACAAUAUCCCUCUACUCCUAAACGAUAAAGCCAACCAAACCAUCAUAGUCUGUGUGAUCAUAAGAUAACAGACAACAUAUAUGUAUGUGAGUUUUCAGAUUAAGAUGUUGCUUUUUUAUUUGUUCUUUUAGAUAUGAUUUUGUCUAAAAGUGAAAAGCAUGGGCUUUGAACAAUUUGGGAGACUUCUCUCGACAUGCCUCCGCUGAUUUGGAUGCUCAUAUAGACAAUGAUACAAGGUGAUUUCAAAAGGGGCCUUCUCAUUUUCCCCCAUUUUAUGCGUUUGAUUGUGUUUUUUGAUUUUUUUUUUGUUGUGUGUGAAUGUGUUUUGUUCGUUUCAUUCUAAGUUUUCUUUUAGAGAAUUAGCAAUUGAAAAGAGUAAUAUUUUCAAUUGAUAAAGUCGAUUCAUUAUUUUUGCAGAAUCUGAACGAUGUAGUGUGGACUCACGAAUCAAGUGACAAAUAAUUCAUUCGGAAGAUUGUAAAAAUGGUGCAGGAAAUGUAAUAUUUAUGAGACGUUUGGGAGGUGAACUGCUGAGGGUUUUAGGCCACGAAUAAAGACAGAUGGGUAAGAGAAAAUUGGAAGAAGGAUUAACAUUGUUAGACAUAAGUCAACCACUUCCUAAUGAAAAAUGCUUCAGUGAUUGCGUCGAUACAUUUUACUCAUUCAGUGAAACCACCUAUCUUUUUCUUGGAAAAUGUAGAUGAUGGAGCAACAGUGCGGAGGAAAAUUUUAUUAUGACGUUAUUGGUGACCAGUAUCUCACUAUCACUGUGUUUUUGGGCACGAAACACUUGGAAAUGAAAAGUAAAUUGUCUAUCUAUGCCCAUACGUUCAUUUGUGCACAAAACCGAUAGCCAGAAUACAUAUUAAAAUAUUGUUGUUCACGAAUAUAAUCAUUCUCACUAUAACAUAACCCCUAAUAUAUAUAUAAACACUUCUUAACAUAUAAACCAGCUAAAAUGUAUGAAUUCAAUAUAGAACACAUACAAAUUAUUUAUGUAAAUGUCUGUAUUGCGAAAAAUAAAAUUUUCACUCUAUUUGGAAUUCAAACUCAGGACUAUGAAUUCAUUUUUUAAUGAUCGGGUCACGGUUGACUUGAACCUUUGAUCUUAAACAUGAACCACUCUACCCUCCAGUAUUUGUAUUUAUGUACUUAAAACAUGUCAUUUAAUUAUAAAUUAUAAUGAUCCGUGCAUCGCACGGGUGGGUAUACUAGUUUAUAAAUAAAUACUGCUGUCAUUAUUUGUUAAUAUAUACUCCUAAUAAUGUUUUUGGGGGAAAAAAAUACUAGUAAUGAUAUAUAUUUAUCGAUUACCUUAUUGGCCGUGCAGCCGCAACAACUACCAGUUGGCAGGGGCUUGGUGGUAAAUUUUUAAUUUAGCUUUUUCUAUGAUAACAAAAGUUUGCUCUAAAUUAUAAUUUUUUUCACAUUAAAUUCAUAAUAUUUCAUAACAAAUUCAAAAACUCUAUACUCAUGAUGUACAUACAUAUUAAAUUGUCUUACUUUAAAUAAUAUUCAAGUAUGAAUUAAUAUUUAUUUAUUUAUAAUUCCAUCGAAUCACGGUAAAAAUUAUUAUAAUCAAAUCAAUUACUAUAACAUUUGGUUAUUGAAUUAAUGGGCUAUAAACUCAUGCAUUAUAGUCAUGUCAUGAUUUCUUUUCACGCAAUAUGUAAUUAGUGGCAAAAUAUACACAUUUUGAUACUUUUUUAAAAAAUAAUCGAAUUUAAAUUCCAAUCAAAUGGAAUUCAACAUGGCAUGAACAACCAUAAUUGGUUGCUUAUCUGGACUGGUUGAUUCGCUGAAAAUUCAUAAUGUUGUUAAAUUUUGAUUUUUCCUAUCAACUAUGAAAAUUAGUGUCAAAAUAUACACACUGAGAUUUUGUUUUUUUUUUUUAAAUAUACACACAUUGAGAAAGUAAAGGAGUACGUAAUUUCUUAAGAAAUUUUAACAUGGCAUUGUUCCCCUAAUAAACUCUUGUUUAUGUCACGUAUGAUUUCAAAUUAGGUCCAAUUGUGGUUGUUCGUGUCAGUGUUGGGCCAAAUUCGAUGCCAAAAUUUAAAUUUGAGGUUCAGAGAGUAUUAAAGUAUGCGUAUUUUGUCACCAAUUUCAUAGUGCAUGGACAAAAUCAAAAUUUUACUAGUACAAUAUAUGGAUUUACAACCAAUUAAAUCUCCCAAAUAAGCAGUUGAUUACGGUCUUUCAUGAUGCAUAUUAAAAAUUUAGUAUCAAGUUAAAUUGAAAUUGGGCCGAUCUUAAGUUUAAAAUUGGGUUAAAUGCAUAUAAAUUCACAANUUUUUUUCUUUAUUUUCGUUUUAAAUAUUUAUAAAUAAAGUCAGAAAUAAAGAGAAAAAAAAAAUUAAGAUAAGUUUCAUUAAUACGACACCGUAAACAGUAUUUGUAACCAGUUUGAUACUCGUUGGCUACAAAGUAAAAACUGAGA
rnacentral:lncRNA from 1 species